rnacentral:rRNA from 1 species
CCUACGGGAGGCAGCAGUGAGGAAUAUUGGUCAAUGGACGAGAGUCUGAACCAGCCAAGUAGCGUGAAGGAUGACUGCCCUAUGUGUUGUAAACUUCUUUUAUAAAGGAAUAAAACGAGGCACGUGUGCCUUUUUGCAUGUACUUUAUGAAUAAGGAUCGGCUAACUCCGUGCCAGCAGCCGCGGUAAUACGGAGGAUCCGAGCGUUAUCCGGAUUUAUUGGGUUUAAAGGGAGCGUAGAUGGGCUGUUAAGUCAGUUGUGAAAGUUUGCGGCUCAACCGUAAAAUUGCAAUUGAUACUGGCAGUCGUGAGUACAGUUGAGGUAGGCGGAAUUCGUGGUGUAGCGGUGAAAUGCUUAGAUAUCACGAAGAACCCCGAUUGCGAAGGCAGCUUACUAAACUGUGACUGACAUUGAGGCUCGAAAGUGUGGGUAUCAAACAGGAUUAGAUACCCCAGUAGUC